AGGCCGCGGGGCUCUUUCCUCCUCGGUGCGCCCCGUGGAGGAGCCGGGGUCUCGGGCGGGGAAGCGGGGCUGAGUUGCUCUUCGAAGGCUCUUCCGAGAGGGGCGAGUAGAAUUGGCGGCGCUUUCCCUCAGGCACGGCGGGAACGGCCGCUUCCUCGUCGCCGCCGUCCUCCCCUAAAGCGACGCGCGGCGGAGAGGGGAAGUUUCUCAUCCUCACGCCCCACUUCUGUUGACAGGGCUUAGGCGCCCAAGGAUCGCCCGUGAGGAGGAGCGGGCCCCACGAUCUGCUUCCAGGACCCAAUCCAGCCACGGAUAGGAAUCAAAACGGAAGGAAAGCGUGCUCCUAGGCAUGCAUAGAGUGCUCUGCUCCAGGUAUGGCUCCAGCCAUGUCCACACAUAGGAGUUGUGGUGGCAUCUCCUGAGGCCUUGAUAUAGGAAAAUUGAGCAUAUGUGAGUUGUCAGUCCAGGGCGUUCAGAUAUCUGAGAUUAGCCUUCAUAUCUGAGGACUGGAAACAUCAGCAAUCCAAGGGGGAAUCCUGAAAAUUGCAGGCAAGUUAGCCUUACGUCUUAUUCUUGGUGGAAAAAAGAUAGAAUUUCCAAGCAUAUAAAAGAGCAAGUCUUGAAGAAGAAAAACCCACCUAAUGGCUGCGCCAGCCUGGACCAACAUGACUUCUGCAAGGAACACCAGAAGUCAUGGACAUUCAAUGAAAUGGAAUAUUGGAAGCUUCAGGCAGACAAAAGAAAGUAUUUCUUCACACAGCAUAUAGUUAACCUGUGGAAUUCACUCCAGCAAGAGGUUGUGAUGGCCAACUUGGAAGACUUUAAAAUUGAAUGAGACAUAUUUUUAGAGCAUAAGGCUAUCUAUCAGUGGCUAUUUGCCCCCAUAGCUGAAGCAGUCUGCCUCUGAAUGGCUGUUGCUGGGUGUCAGCAAGUGGGGAGAGCACUGUUGUGUUCAGGUUCUGCUUGUGGGUUUCCAUUGGGCAUCUGGUUGGCCACUGUGAGAACUAGAAGCCAGACUGGAAGGGUCUUUGGCCUGAUCCAGGAGGUCUAUUCCGAUGUUCUUUUUUUCUUUCUUUCUAAGUAUUAGUAAUAGAUUCUGCCCCCAACUUUUUGCUCCAGUGUCAUAUCAUAAUCCCUUGGACAUGCUGUGCUCAAGGUUUGGCAGCAGUGCCUGUGAUUGACACACAUGGCAGGUUUCUGGCUGCAUUGUGAAGACAUCCAGUACUGUAUAUAAUUAUAGAUACAUUGCCCUUGUCCACAAACCACUCCAUCCUCUGACACCUGCAUCAGCCAAGUCCCCAUGUGCUUUGAAAAAAAUCUACUUUGGAGGUGCAUUUGUCUCCCCCACUAAAUCAUCUAUUCCAUGAUCUCAUCUUUCCCUGUGUUUCUGUUAUUUAAUGUGUGUUAAUCCCUGUCACUUCUAUCCUUCACCUCUUCCCUAUUUUUUUUUCUAUUGGGAGGUUUUCUGAAAACAGUUCCCCCACCUGUCCAUCUCCAUUUCUCCUUGCAGUGGAACUCAGGUUCUAUGCCUCAUCCUAUCUGCAGUUAGGAGUCUCUCAGUUUUAUGACUGUGAUUAAGACAAAUGAAUUCAUAGCCUUUACAUGUUUGCUUAGCACCACAUUGUAAUAUCGGGGUUCCCAAACUGUUGUCUGCAUGGUGUUCCAUGGCACAUCAAUCGUGUUAAAUAUUCACAUUUGUUUUUAAUGGUAUUUUAAUUGCUUCUUUUAUUUCUUAUAAUAUUAUUUUUGUAUUCUAUGCAAUUCCAAUUCUAAUACAAUACAAUAUAUAAGAAAUGGGGGUUGGACUAGAUGAUCCCCCAGGGUCCCUUCCAACUGUACAAUACUGUGAUUCUAUAUAUACCUAAGAUUAGAGCCCUAGACAUUUUAAAAAAGUAAAAUAAAUGAAAUAGCAGUUGUUUGACGUGCAGUUUCAGAUAGCUUCCACAGGAAGGGGUUUUUAAAAUUUUGAAUACUGUACAGGCAUACCUUGUUUUAUUGUGGUUCGCUUUAUUGUGCUUUGCGGAUAUUGCUCCUUAUGAGGAUGCGAGGUUCAGGCAGUCUGGCUGCUUCCAGGAGAAGGAAGCUCCCACCCUGCCACCCCUUUUCUGGCCAUGGGAGUGGAGCUGACUAAGUUUGGGGCUGAGUUUCCCCCCUCCCACCCCUGCAGCCAGUGGGGCUUAGCUUAGUAGACUACAGUGUAGUGUAAGCAUAACUUGUAUAUUUAUGUUUUUGGAGGGGAAGUGUCAGAAGGGGCUAGGAGAGCACAGGGGGGAACCAUCAGAAAUCCUGGAAGAGCGUUCAGAGGCACAGGUUCAGCGGCCUUAGGAGAGGCUACGAAGGUGGUUGGAGAGUCUUCCACAGCCUUGGGAAAGAGUGCGGCCUUCAGUAUGUCACAGAACUCCUAUUGUAGCAUUAAGUUUAUGCAGAUGGAGAGCACACACUGUUCAAAGAAAAUAUUAAUGCAAUAUUUUUGAAAUGGUAGGCCUGUGCUGUGCUUUUCUUUUUAAAAGAUACAUAAGUAAUUAUCUCAUGCAGUAGUAGUAGUAGUAGUAGUAGUAAUAAUAAUAAUUUGUCCUCAGUGUACAUUCUGCCUUGCAGAAUAACACUGGCAACAUAUCUGAAAUCUGAACUACACAGUGGAAGGAGGGAGGGACUAUGGGGCACACCUUUUAUACAGGGAGAAGUUACUUGCCUUGGUAACACUCUGAGUAUGGAGAGGAAAGUCAAUAGAAUAAUUGAAGAUGAAGCCAAGGCUACAUGCCUGAUCAACAGGGGAUGUUGUUGGUGGAUAGGAAGAGGAAUCAAGGAGGGGAAAGCUUUUGAGGAGAGAGAAGUGGAUCAGUUUUGGACAGGUUGAGUUUGAGACGGUAAUGGGACAUCCAAAUGAGGGGAAAAGUGGGUAUAUGUAUUUUUAAAACUUAAAACCAUGCCAAAACUGUUUAAAUAAAUGUAUCACAGAUUAUGAUAGUCACACCAAAAUAUGAGUGGUCAAAUCUCUGGGUGUUAGUUUCAGCUAUCCCAUGUGCUGCAAAAAUAUUCAAAACAGGUUUCACAGAGGCCUUAGCAAAACACAGGAAGGAAAGAUGCACAGAAAUGGCAAUGAUGGCUGCGCAAUAUUCCCUUGAAGUCCUCAUUUGUACAGUCAUAAACAAAUGAAACCUGACCAGGUAUCUGCUGUCAGUAGUUGAUGUUGAAAUGAUUGGCUGCCUUAAACUGGAGCUGCAGGAGGGCAGAUGAUCUCUCCUCAGCCACAAGAGGGUGCACACAGUCCCAAAGUAGUUUCCUUGGCUAGAGUUGUUGAGCUUUUUUAAGAAAACCCCAAAAUUGUUGAACUUUUUUUUUUU